GAUGAACGCUAGCUACAGGCUUAACACAUGCAAGUCGAGGGGUAGCACGGAGGAAGCUUGCUUCCUUGGGUGACGACCGGCGCACGGGUGAGUAACGCGUAUCCGACCUACCCAUAACUCGGGCACAGCCGCUCGAAAGAGUGAUUGAUUCCCGAUAUGUCCUUGGAGUAGAUUCAAUGAUGAAAGAUUUAUCGGUUAUGGAUGGGGAUGCGUAAGAUUAGGUAGUAGGCGGGGUAACGGCCCACCUAGCCGACGAUCUUUAGGGGUUCUGAGAGGAAGGUCCCCCACACUGGUACUGAGACACGGACCAGACUCCUACGGGAGGCAGCAGUGAGGAAUAUUGGUCAAUGAGCGGAAGCCUGAACCAGCCAAGUAGCGUGAAGGAUUACAGCCCUACGGGUUUUAAACUUCUUUUAUAUAAGAGUAAUGUGCACUACGUGUAGUGUAUUGCAAGUAUUAUAUGAAUAAGCAUCGGCUAACUCCGUGCCAGCCGCCGCCGUAACAC
rnacentral:rRNA from 1 species